rnacentral:rRNA from 2 species
AAAAAACCGUCGACGCUGGCGGCGUGCCUAAUACAUGCAAGUCGAGCGAAUCGAUGGGAGCUUGCUCCCUGAGAUUAGCGGCGGACGGGUGAGUAACACGUGGGCAACCUGCCUAUAAGACUGGGAUAACUUCGGGAAACCGGAGCUAAUACCGGAUACGUUCUUUUCUCGCAUGAGAGAAGAUGGAAAGACGGUUUACGCUGUCACUUAUAGAUGGGCCCGCGGCGCAUUAGCUAGUUGGUGAGGUAAUGGCUCACCAAGGCGACGAUGCGUAGCCGACCUGAGAGGGUGAUCGGCCACACUGGGACUGAGACACGGCCCAGACUCCUACGGGAGGCAGCAGUAGGGAAUCUUCCGCAAUGGACGAAAGUCUGACGGAGCAACGCCGCGUGAACGAAGAAGGCCUUCGGGUCGUAAAGUUCUGUUGUUAGGGAAGAACAAGUACCAGAGUAACUGCUGGUACCUUGACGGUACCUAACCAGAAAGCCACGGCUAACUACGUGCCAGCAGCCGCGGUAAUACGUAGGUGGCAAGCGUUGUCCGGAAUUAUUGGGCGUAAAGCGCGCGCAGGUGGUUCCUUAAGUCUGAUGUGAAAGCCCACG